AACAAAAUUUACAUUCAUGGCAGAUUAGCAUCAUCAGGAACUAGAGCUCUCUACGAAACAAUGACGAUGACGAUAUGUGAUCAUCUACAACGAGGGAAGGGGAUAGGGUACUAAAUCUCCACUCUUCUCUCCUCUUAUUCUUGUAUUUCCUCUUCUAAAGAAAGGGUUGGAAGGAACAGGAAGGAGGCUAGCUGGGAUAUAGCUUUUGGUUGUAUCUCAGUAAACAUAAAUGGGGACGUCAAGUCAACCAGGCUACUGAUUCAAAAUUUUCCGGUAAAAUGUCGAAGCACCAAAUCACUCAUGGCGGCACCCACAGAUUGUAAUGCGUGAAACCAUCCUCCCGAUUUCAUUUGGUUGCUGCAACAACCAGCGCUUGCUUAAAACUUUUCCUCCUACAAAGCAAGAAAAUCCACCUCAUCUGAGCUCUCCUCAAAUAUUACAUAGCUGGCAUCUCGACCAUCCUCAUUUCCACUGCCUUGAUCGCUAUUAUAGCUGCUUUCUGAAGAACUUAUAAACAUCGAAUCAGAUGUGUCACCGCUCAGCUGUGUUGGCAAACUAACGUCACUAUUUACUUCGCUUUCCAGCAUCUGUUCAAUUUCAAAGUAACUUCCUUCUGACGGAAAGUCAGCCAGCAAGCAUACAUCAGGCCUUUCCCUCAUUACUUGCUCAAUUGGAAUG
rnacentral:misc_RNA from 1 species